GCCAGUGUGGUGUAGUGAUCUGAGCGUUGGACUACGACUCUGAAGAUCAGGGUUCAGUUCCCUGCUUGGUCA
rnacentral:tRNA from 1 species